rnacentral:rRNA from 1 species
UGGGGAAUAUUGCACAAUGGGCGCAAGCCUGAUGCAGCCAUGCCGCGUGUGUGAAGAAGGCCUUCGGGUUGUAAAGCACUUUCAGCGGGGAGGAAGGCGUUAAGGUUAAUAACCUUGGCGAUUGACGUUACCCGCAGAAGAAGCACCGGCUAACUCCGUGCCAGCAGCCGCGGUAAUACGGAGGGUGCAAGCGUUAAUCGGAAUUACUGGGCGUAAAGCGCACGCAGGCGGUCUGUCAAGUCGGAUGUGAAAUCCCCGGGCUCAACCUGGGAACUGCAUUCGAAACUGGCAGGCUAGAGUCUCGUAGAGGGGGGUAGAAUUCCAGGUGUAGCGGUGAAAUGCGUAGAGAUCUGGAGGAAUACCGGUGGCGAAGGCGGCCCCCUGGACGAAGACUGACGCUCAGGUGCGAAAGCGUGGGGAGCAAACAGG